GAGUGAAUGGCAGGGCAAAUCUCCUUUGGCAAAAUAGAACUAUGCAGAAGCAUAAGCAUUUUUGCUAAAGGAGAUUUGCUCUGUAAUUCCUCU
rfam:Corchorus olitorius cultivar O-4 contig20864, whole genome shotgun sequence.